rnacentral:rRNA from 1 species
UGGGAUUAGCUUGUUGGUGAGGUAACGGCUCACCAAGGCGACGAUCCCUAGCUGGUCUGAGAGGAUGACCAGCCACACUGGAACUGAGACACGGUCCAGACUCCUACGGGAGGCAGCAGUGGGGAAUAUUGCACAAUGGGCGCAAGCCUGAUGCAGCCAUGCCGCGUGUAUGAAGAAGGCCUUCGGGUUGUAAAGUACUUUCAGCGGGGAGGAAGGUGUUGUGGUUAAUAACCGCAGCAAUUGACGUUACCCGCAGAAGAAGCACCGGCUAACUCCGUGCCAGCAGCCGCGGUAAUACGGAGGGUGCAAGCGUUAAUCGGAAUUACUGGGCGUAAAGCGCACGCAGGCGGUCUGUCAAGUCGGAUGUGAAAUCCCCGGGCUCAACCUGGGAACUGCAUUCGAAACUGGCAGGCUUGAGUCUUGUAGAGGGGGGUAGAAUUCCAGGUGUAGCGGUGAAAUGCGUAGAGAUCUGGAGGAAUACCGGUGGCGAAGGCGGCCCCCUGGACAAAGACUGACGCUCAGGUGCGAAAGCGUGGGGAGCAAACAG